rnacentral:rRNA from 1 species
AACGAACGCUGGCGGCGUGGAUAAGACAUGCAAGUCGAACGGGAACUUCAGCUGUAGCAAUACAGUUGAAGUUUUAGUGGCGAACGGGUGCGUAACACGUGGGCAAUCUGCCGAGAAGUGGGGGAGUAGCUCGCCGAAAGGACGAAUUAAUACCGCAUAUGAUCAGCUAAGACAUCUUAGCGACAUCAAAGCCGGGGCGAACCUGGCGCUUUUGUAGGAGCCCGCGGCCUAUCAGCUAGUUGGUGAGGUAACGGCUCACCAAGGCUAUGACGGGUAGCUGGUCUGAGAGGACGACCAGUCACACUGGAACUGAGACACGGUCCAGACACCUACGGGUGGCAGCAGUCGAGUAAUUUUUCUUCAA